rnacentral:rRNA from 1 species
AACUGAUUAGAAGCUUGCUUCUAUGACGUUAGCGGCGGACGGGUGGUAACACGUGGGCAACCUGCCUGUAAGACUGGGAUAACUUCGGGAAACCGAAGCUAAUACCGGAUAGGAUUUCUCCUUCAUGGGAGAUGAUUGAAAGAUGGUUUCGGCUAUCACUUACAGAUGGGCGCGGUGCAUUAGCUAGUUGGUGAGGUAACGGCUCACCAAGGCAACGAUGCAUAGCCGACCUGAGAGGGUGAUCGGCCACACUGGGACUGAGACACGGCCCAGACUCCUACGGGAGGCAGCAGUAGGGAAUCUUCCGCAAUGGACGAAAGUCUGACGGAGCAACGCCGCGUGAGUGAUGAAGGCUUUCGGGUCGUAAAACUCUGUUGUUAGGGAAGAACAAGUACAAGAGUAACUGCUUGUACCUUGACGGUACCUAACCAGAAAGCCACGGCUAACUACGUGCCAGCAGCCGCGGUAAUACGUAGGUGGCAAGCGUUAUCCGGAAUUAUUGGGCGUAAAGCGCGCGCAGGCGGUUUCUUAAGUCUGAUGUGAAAGCCCACGGCUCAACCGUGGAGGGUCAUUGGAAACUGGGGAACUUGAGUGCAGAAGAGA